GAGCCUUACCUGGUCAUGUCACAGAACCCAGCAAUCAGAGGCUGCGAGCGGCCCCUGCCUGAGCAUGUUCCAGGACUAUAGAAGCAGAGACGGCAGCAGCAGCAGCAGGAGGAGAUUGGAGGCGGUAGCUUCAGCUGUGGUUUUGUGAUCGAUUACGUAAUCAAGAUGGUGCCAGUUAUGUUGGAGGAGGCAAGAUGGUGAAGAGUGGGGCUUUUGUUCUAGUGGUGGCAGUGUGCUGUUUGGGAUGUGUGCCUGGCCACCAGGCCCAUGUCACAGCACUCAACAAGAAGAACUGUAACGAAUCCAGAUUUUGAAGAGGAUUUAGAUUCACAGCAGAUUUUGCUGAGCCUGGAGUCGAUAAAAUGUGGAGUUGGAGGAGCACAGCAGGUCCAACAGCAUCCAAGGAGCAGGAAAGUCGACAUUUUGGGUUGAAACUCUUCAUCAGGAUUCCUCAGCAUCUACAGUCCUUUCUAUUUCUUUUGUUAAGGCUGGAGUCUGAUUGUGCUAUCACCAGUUAGAUUCUGAGCAGACUGGGUCACUGUUAACAGCAAACUAUUUCUUACUAGACCGAAGCAAAGCAGUCUGGACAUUACAAUUAAACAUUUAUUUCAAAGACCAGGAGUUUGGAUCAUGUGAUCAGUUUCCUGAAUAAACUAGUUUCAAUUUAACAAGAGAUAGUAAGAACUGUCCAGAGUGGAAUGAAAGAUAAUACAGCAUGGAGCUGGAGGAACACAGCAGGCCAGCUCGCAACAAAGGAACAGGAAAGCUGAUGUUUUGGGUUGGGACCCUUCUUUAGAAACUCCAUUUCAAUUUGACAAGGUAGUUUCUACCUAUUAUUUUCUCUCUGUCUGGCCAGAACCAUUGUUUGCAUGAGAUAUACGGUGAACUAU